rnacentral:rRNA from 1 species
UACGUAGGGUGCGAGCGUUAAUCGGAAUUACUGGGCGUAAAGCGUGCGCAGGCGGUUUUGUAAGCCAGAUGUGAAAGCCCCGGGCUCAACCUGGGAAUGGCAUUUGGGACUGCAAGGCUUGAGUGCGGCAGAGGAGACUGGAAUUCCUGGUGUAGCAGUGAAAUGCGUAGAUAUCAGGAAGAACACCGGUGGCGAAGGCGGCCCACUGGCUCGAUACUGACGCUGAGGUGCGAAAGCGUGGGGAGCAAACAGG